rnacentral:misc_RNA from 1 species
AUGAACGAGUCAUGUUAGAUACAGAAGCUAAUAGUUUCAAUGGCGUGUGCAAGUUGAAUGUGUCCAUCCCUAGAGGAGACAGUUCACAUGGAGCUAUCGAGGCUACCCACGAGGAUAAAACUUCAAAAGAAGCUAUUGAUCUGAUUGGAGGAAUAGAUACUCAAAUUUGUGUCCAAAGAAAUGCCACUGCUGCAUCUGAUGCUUCAGAAAGUCUUGCUUGUGAGAAAGAUACCAAGUACAAGUCAAGUUCG